GCCCAUUGGCAUUCCGAUGGGCAUGCCUGUUCGAGCGUCAUUCUCCUCCCUCAAACCCCUGGGUUUGGUGUUGGACUCUGUUGUGGCGGUGCUGGCACAACUGGUCUCAAAGACAAUGACGGCGUCCGUGGGACCCUCGGUGCAACGGUCUUACU
rnacentral:misc_RNA from 1 species